GGGGAUGUAGCUCAGUUGGUAGAGCGUCUGCUUCGCAUGUAGAAGGUCAGCGGUUCGAAUCCGCCCAUCUCCA
rnacentral:tRNA from 1 species